GACGAACGCUGGCGGCGUGCUUAACACAUGCAAGUCGAACGGAAAGGCCCUGCUUUUGUGGGGUGCUCGAGUGGCGAACGGGUGAGUAACACGUGAGUAACCUGCCCUUGACUUUGGGAUAACUUCAGGAAACUGGGGCUAAUACCGGAUAGCAGCUCCUGCUGCAUGGUGGGGGUUGGAAAUUUUCGGCGGGUGGGGAUGGACUCGCGGCUUAUCAGCUUGUUGGUGGGGUAGUGGCUUACCAAGGCUUUGACGGGUAGCCGGCCUGAGAGGGUGACCGGCCACAUUGGGACUGCGAUACGGCCCAGACUCCUACGGGAGGCAGCAGUGGGGAAUAUUGCACAAUGGGCGGAAGCCUGAUGCAGCAACGCCGCGUGCGGGAUGACGGCCUUCGGGUUGUAAACCGCUUUCGCCUGUGACGAAGCGUGAGUGACGGUAAUGGGUAAAGAAGCACCGGCUAACUACGUG
rnacentral:rRNA from 1 species